UGUUAGGGCUAGUUCGUUACUUUGUUCUUCAUGGCGCCCAAGCCCAAGGGCGAGGAGCCCCCGCCGCCGCCGCCAGAGGAAGUGAAGGAGGAUCCCAAGAUCGCCCUGCGGAAGCAGAUUGAAGCGCAAGAGCGCGACAUCUUCCAUCUAAAGCAUCUGUUGGAGGCGUUGGUGGAUGGAGAGGGCCACAGCCUUCGGGACGCCAAGAUUUUGGAGCUCUUCAAGAAGAAUCGGGAGCUUAACCUGGCAUAUGAGCGAGAGAGAAAUUCCUCGUCCAAGCUUAAGUUUCAAGUCGGGCAACUGCAGCAAGAGGUCUUGAAAAGAAGGAACAAACUCUACAAAGGCAAUGCUGAAACUCUCCAGAAAACCAAUGCAGAAGUUCCCGAACAAACAAAUCCAGAAGUGUCUCAGCAAACCAAUCCGGCAGAUGGUGUUAAGAACGCACAACAACAAGACGAACAAAAGAAAUCAGAGCAACCGGAAGGACAACAGGGAGAACAACAAGGGACUGUAGAGGAAUCAAUACAAGAAGCCAAAGCCGAGAUUGCAACACCUGAAGAACCGUGGAAGGAAAAAUUCGAUCAGGUUGCCCUCAAGCUUGCCGAGGCCCAAUCUGUACACACAGGCCUCACAAUGGAGGUUUCUAAGCUUCGCUACGCGCUGCAACGUGAAGUUGGCGAACACAUACCUGUAGCAAAGGUCUUUGCACUUGCACAUCGGUAUGAUCUCUUCGAUCCUGAAGAUGCUCUUUGGUGUUAAGUGUUGAACAAGGUUUUGGAAGAAGGCGGUGAAUGGAAAGGCCGAAGUCAGCAGAUUUCUCUUCUCAAGGACAAAGUGCGCGAGCUAAAAGCAAAGCUGCACCGGUCGGAGUCCGAAGAGUUUCAGCGUUUUCAAAUUGAAGCUUUCCAUGCUGCGCGCAGGAAAGAGUUUGAGAAGCUGGCA